CUCAGUUUGGUUCGGCCUGAUGUUUCCUUGAUGAUCCAGGCUUCGCAAUUUUGGGAGAAAUCCUAUAUGUGAUAUUGUGUCCAUCUCAGUUCAUCUUAUGAGGAGGUCCGUGAUGUUACUUUAUCCCAAUAUUGUUAAUGUUGUGUGAUCAUUUGGUUAAGGCGGAAGUCCACCAGAUUUUUCCACUGUAAAGUUACUGUUUUGUAAUUAAUAAGUAAUCGUGGAGAGAUACUUUGAGAUCAAUCUGUAUUUUUUUUAAGCUAGGUAGAGGAAUGAAAAAAGAGGGUUUGGUAAAGGCCAUCUUCUGGGACCCACUAUCCUUUCUGUUCAUCUGGUUCCCCAGGCCCCUCUGUCAGCAUUUACCCUUGCUCUCCUCCUCCAUCCCAUCCAUUUCCGCCCUAGAUAUCUUUAGAGCCAGUGACUGAAUGAGGCCCUACAAGCAUUUUUUCAAAUAUGAGGCCUAGAUGAUGCUAGGGCAGUGGUUCUCAAACCACUUUUAGAAUCUAAAACAGAUAAAAUGAAAGUUGUUUUUAGAAUCUAAAACAGAUAAAAUGGAGUAAGAGUGGUGGGCUCCAGCCAUGCCCAAAGGACCUUCUCCUUCCCUGCUGGUUGAUCUCUGAAGGGCCCCCAGCUCGCCCAAGAGGCACACCGAUGGCUACUGGCUCCUCAGGAAGGCUGGCUUGGACCUUAGCCCUCUUCUAUUUACUGCCUCUGACAGCUCUGACCUUGGGGCCUGGGGCCACGUGAGUCAUUGGCUUUUGAGAAGAAGCUCUCAGCCUAUGCUCAGGCAGCAUCCCAACCUCCGACACCAUCCCAGCUGCACUUUCUCUUUUGUUUUCCUGGGAUAUAGACUGCAGGCCAGAGAGGAGGGCAAGGAGAAGUAGUAGAGACCCAGACAGACUCCUCCCUCCUCUCUGCCCCACAACCUGAAGCAGCUGCUUCCUUCCAGCCUGCACCCUGGAGAAGGCAGCCAUGUUGGAUGUUCAGGUCAAAGGCCUGGCAGAUCUCCCGAGCGCUCUCUGCAACAGACUAGCCCCAUCAGAGGGGAACCUGAACCUGGUGGAUGACUACAGCCACCAAGAAGAAGUGGGCUGGAAAAGUUUUUCACUUCUCCAAAGUUAUUCUUAUGGUAGCUCUCAGAGUCUGUAUGUGACAAAUAAGGUGGGGGUGGGAGUAGGAUAAAGAAGAUACCACCAGGAAUGAAUCACAAGUUUGUCACUGACCACUAGCAGCCAUGUGACUGCUAGUGGGGAUAGAAAAUAAGCAAUUCCUACAGUUGUCAUCAGGACUAAAUGUGAUCCUGCAGUGGGCUUCCCAAAUCUUAGGAAUCAGCACACUACGUGGAUGGCUUUGGCUGUACCUUCAUGCCAGCUCUAUCACUUAGCUAAUAAUUCCUCCUAAUUGUUUUGUUUUGCAAAUGUAGCCAUGUCCUGAAGAAAUACUGCUCACGAGAUUGGGUUUAUUUCACAUCUUAUGUUUUCCUACUCUACCUUAAAAUAAAUAGACAAGUAUUAAAAUUGGAAGCGGUUCGUGUGUGUACCACAGUGGGGUAAUGCAGGUAGAGUGAUCGUGCACUCCUCUCUGCUGCCACACUAUCACCAGUACCCCUCCUUCACCGCACCCCCACAGUCUAUGAUUUAACCUCGGUGGCUUUGUUUGUUGGGAAAUGAAAGAGGCCCCAAAUCUCUGUGAUGAUAGGUAUUUUAACUCAUUCAGUAUGUUGUUGCAGACACUCAUUGGCCUGAGUCAUGUUCAGGAUUGUACAACCCCCACCUUGGGGUGUGAAAGGGUGGACCGAUCUGUCAGAAGCAGGAUCCCUGCAGAGAAGGCUGUGUUUCUGCUUGGCCUAACUUUCCCUCAGGAGUGGUUUAUUCUGUGCCACCUGCAGCAGGCCAGGCCAGGGGAACUUUCUGAUGGGGGGUGUCCACAUCGCCUUCUGGGCAUAACAGCAACAAGCUCUCCAGCUAAAGCCUGAAUUCGAGCCACAUUUUAGGUGGAAUGCAGCUCCAGUGCAUUGCCUCUGCAUUAAUCAGGGUUCAGUUACAGGAAACAGAAGCCAUUCUAGCCAUUUUAAUCAGUAGGGGAUUUAAUACACAGGAUUAGAUGCUUAUAAAAUCAUUGGAGGGCCUAGACGAAUGGCUCUAGGUGGGCCUCCAAGAAUGUACCCAGAACAACACAGCAGAACUGGCCUAACCAGGGGAGCUGCAGCCUCUCCCACACCAGGAACAGGAGGAGUCAGGAGGCUGUCAUCAGAACUGUGAUCCAGAUAUCAAGAGGCCUUUGCCAGAGCUGCAACUCUCUGUUAAUCUCUUUUAGCUCCCACAAAUGUGAAUUGCUGCUGAAAUCUGGUGUCUUCUUGGCCAUGCUAGCCAGCAGUAACAACCAGGGAAGCCAAGAGAUGGCCUCCACCUGACUCCUAGCUGCAUCAGUGAUGCAGCUCUUAUCUUAACUGAUGGAGCUCUUAUCAAGAAUUCCAGCUGCAAGAAAGGCAGGGAAAUGGAGUUUUCAGCUUUCUAGUCUCUGCAGCAUGUGAAGGCACAUUAGGAGGUUGGAAUGGAUAAUGACAGCCUGUUCACCAUACCCACCACAGUCAGGCAAAUGAAGCGUCUUCCUCGCCAAGAGCUGGGCCCAGCUGAUCUCUCCAACCUCAUCUCCAGCCACUCAUCUAACCCAUCCACCCUGUGUUCAGUUGAAUUUCUGGGGUACCUCCAACGCUCAGUGCCUUUGCUCAGGACAUUCCCUUUGUCUGGAAUGCUCUUUCUUGCUUUUUCUAUGAGAUCAAUUUGGAUCGUCUCUUCUUAGAAGCUCUCCUACCUCCUGGGGAAAAAGUCUUGUUCUAGGCUUCUAUAGCUUUUUCUGUAUACCUUCCGUAAUGAUUUAUUUCCAUGUUUGUCUUCUACACUAGACAAAGAGGGCAGAGACUGGAUCUUAUCUGUCUUUGCUUACACAGUUGAUCAAGGUCUGAGCCAAUUCCUUUCAGCUCCAGGCAUAUAAAAAAAUAAGACUAGGGGCUGGCCCAGUGGUGCAGCGGUUAAAUUCACAUGUUCCACUUCGACAGCCCGGGUUCGCCAGUUAGGAUCCCAGGUGCGAACAUGGCACCACUUGGCAAGCCAUGCUGUGGCAGGCGUUCCACAUAUAAAGUAGAGGAAGAUGGGCACGGAUGUUAGCUCAGGGCCAGUCUUCCUCAGCAAAAAGAGGAGGAUUGGCAGCAGAUGUUAGCUCAGGGCUAAUCUUCCUCACACACACAAAAAAAGACUAAAACAGGAUAGCAAAAUUUCUGGCACAGUUUAAAAGUUUAAGUUUACCAACCUAAUGCUUUUAACAUAAAAAUUAUGAUGCAGUAUAACUGGGAUAUUUUCAAAAUAAAUACAGAAAAAUUUUAAAUAUAUAAAUUUGUAGAACAUUAAAAGUGUUAAUUCAUAAAAAAAAAGGUAUUGGAAACUAUAGGACACAAUGCUAAUUUUGCCCCAAAUCAGUUCUUUACUUUUCAUGUUAUCGUGACCCUCAAUUUUUAGCAGGAUAUAUGGUCAACCAAAUCAAAAACUACAUUUCCCAGACUCCCUUGCAACUAUGUGUGGUCACAUAAUUAAGUCUGACCAAUAGGACAUGAAACCAAGUGAUAUGUACAACUUCAGGUGCUUUAAAAGGAAAGAGGCAUUUUUCUACUUUCAAUAGGCAGUAAGCCACCUUAGACCAUGCAGACUGGGGCAUACUAGGGACAGCAGAGCAACAAUUGAUUUAGAGCCUGGCUCCCUGUUACAGCAAAGCUGGGUUAUUAAUAAAUGAGAAAGAAAUUUCUAUAUGUUUAAUGCACAAGCAUUUUGGUUCUCUGUUAAAGCAGCUGAAAGUGUAUCCUGAUUAUUCCUGGUUCCAAACUAUGGAAUUACAGUCAUACACCUAGUAAUGACAUUUCAGUCAAUGACGGAUGGCAUAUACGAUGGUGGUUCUAUAAGACCAGUACCCUGUAGCCUAGGUGUAUAGUAGGAUAUACCAUCCAAGUUUGUGUAAGUACACUCUAUGAUGUUCGCACAACAACGAAAUCGCCUUAUAUUCCUCAGAACCUAUUCUUGUCAUUAAGCGACGCAUGGCUGUAUAUGAUGAUGUCUUGCAGGUAUAACUUCAUUUGGAGACAGCAUUAAAAUUGUAAAUGUAGGAUCUGUUUGUGAUGAGACCCAGACCAGUGUUUUUCCUGAGUCCCUGAACCAGGUGUUCCUUUGGCAAGGUAGCCUGUUCUCAGCUUUAAAGGAGUUCCAGGAAGAAAUCACCAAGCUGAUCCUAACAUUCACAUGGAAAUACAAAGGAUCCAGAAUAGCCAAAACAAUCUUGGAAAAGAAGGACAACGUUGGAGGACCUCACACUUCCCAAUUUAAAACUUACUACAAAGCAACAGUAAUCAAGACAAUGUAGUACUGGCAUCAGAAUAGACAUGUAGUUUGAUGAAAUCGAUUUAAAAGUCCAGAAAUAAACCCAUACAUCUACAGUCAAUUGAUUUCAACAAGGCGACCAAGCCCAUUUAAAUGGGACAGAAUAGUCUUUUCAACAAACGAUGCUGGGACAACUGCAAAAGAAUGAAGGUGGAUCCCUACCUCAUACCAUAUGCAAAAAUUAAUUCAAAAUGGAUCAAAGAGAGCCAGCCCUGAUGGCCUAGUGGUUAAAGUUCAGUGCUUACUGCUUUAGCAGCCCAGGUUCGCUUCCAAGUCGUGGAACCAUACUAGCUGUCUGUCAGUUGCCAUGCUGUGGUGGUGCCUCACAUAGAAGAACUAGAAUGACUCACAACUAAAAUCUAUAACCACAUACUGAAGCUUUGGGGAGAGGAAGGAAAAGAGGAAGAUUGGCAACAGGUGUUAGCUCAGGGCCAAUCUUUCCCUGCAAAAAGAAGGGGGCCAGCCCAGUGGCACAGUGGUUAAGUUCACAUGCUCGCUUCACCUGGGGUUCACUGGUUCAGAUCCUGGGUGCAGACCUACACACCGCUUGUCAAGCCAUGCUGUGGCAGGCAUCCCACAUAUAAAGUAGAGGAAGGUGAGCAUGGAUGUUAGCUGAGGGCCAGUCUUGCUUGGCAAAAAGAGGAGGAUUGGCGGCAGAUGUUAGCUCAGGGCUAAUCUUCCUCAAAAAAAAAAAAAGGAUAAAACACCUAAAUCUAAGUGCUAAAACUAUAAAACUCUUAGAAGGAAAUAUAGUUGUAAGUCUUUAUGACUUUGCAUUAUGCAAUGAUUUCUUAGCUAUGACACCGAAACCACAGCAAUCAAAGAAAAAAUACAUUGGACUUCAUCAAAAUGUAAAACUUUAUGUGUCAAAGAACACUGUUAAGAAAGUGAAAAGACAACCAUAGAAUGGAAGAACCUAUUUGCAAAUCGUAUAUCUGCUAAGGAUCUAUUAUCCAGAAUAUAUAAAGAACACUUAUAACUCAAUAAUAAAAAGGCAAGGGUUGGCCCCAUGGCCAAGUGGUUAAGUUUGAGCACUCUGCUUCGGCGGCCCGGGGUUUUGCCGGUUUGGAUCCUGGGUGCCGACAUGGCACCGCUCAUCAGGCCAUGCUGAGGUGGCGUCCCACAUGCCACAACCAGAGGCACUCACAACCAGAAUAUACAACUAUGUACUGGGGGGCUUUGGGGAGAGGAAAAAAAAAAAAAGAUUGGCAACAGUUGUUAGCUCAGGUGCCCAUCUUUAAAAAACAAACAAAAAAACCCCCAAUUUAAAAACGGACAAGGGAUUUGAACAGACAUUUCUCCAAAGAAAGUAUACAAAAGGCCAAUAAGCACAUGAAAAGAUACUCAACUUCAUUAGUCAUUAUUGAAAUGCAAAUCAAAACCACACUCACUAAGAUGACUACAGAAAAACAAACAAAAAAAAAUGGACAAUAACAACUGUUGGACAGGAUGUCAAGAAGUCAGAACUCUCAUACAUUGGUGGUGGGAAAGCAAAAUGAUGCAGCAGCUUUGCAAAAUAGUUUGGCAGUUCCUCCAAAAGUUAAACAUAGAGUUACCACACGACCAGCCAGGUUUAUACCCAAGAAAAUUGAAAACAUAAUUUCACAAAAAACUUGUACAUGAAUGUUGAUAGCGGCGUGAUUCAUAAUAGCCAAAAAAGAGAGACAAUCUGAAUGUCUAUCAACCGAUAAAUGGAUAAACAAAAUGUGGUAUAUCCAUCCAACGGAAUUUUUUUUUUUGCCAUAAAAAGGAAUGUGUACUGAUACAUGCUACAACGUGGAUGCACCUUGAGAACAUUAUUGCUAAGAAGCCAGGGAAAAAAAGGCCACUAAUGCAUGCAAUUCAUAUGCGUACAUAUAUGUCAUAUCCAGAUAUUGCAUGUAUAUGCAUUUAUCUGCGUUUAUAGGCCGUGUCCAGAGUAGACAAAUCCAUGGAGACAGAAAGUAGACUAAUGGUUGCCGGGGUUGGGCAUGAAGGGCAUGGGGAGUAAGUGCUAAUGGGCACAGAGUUUCUUCAUGGGGUGAUGAAAAUGUUCUGGAAUAAGUGGUGGUGUUCCCACAACUUGUGACUAUACUAGAAACCACUGAAGUGUGCACUUUAAAAUGGGCGAAUGGUAAAUUUUGUGGUGUAUGAGUUAUAUCUCUAAUAAAUAGACAACAAAAAAGGUACAUUAUAAAGUAAUGUUUUGUAUAAGCAGUAGGUAGGCAGCCUCUAAAAUGACUUCCGGUAAUUCUCACCUUCUGGCAUCCACACCCUUGAGAAAUCCCUUCUCUUUUGCUGUAGGCCAGAUUUAGCAACUCACUAGUCACAAACAGUAACAGCAGAAGCGGUGUCGUGUCACUUGCGAUAUUAAGUUCUAAAGACUGCGGCUUCCAUACUGGAGACUCUCUCUUCCUCUCCCUUGUAUUCCUUGCUCUGGGAAGCCAGCUGCCAUGUGGUAAGCAGCUCUGGGGAGAUCCCAUGUGGUGAGGAGCCGACAUCUCCAGACACCAGCCAGUGCAGACCUGUGGACUGCUAUGUAUACAAUUGGCCCUCCAUAUCUGUGGGUUCCACAUCUGCAGAUUCAACCAACCUUGGAUUCAAAGGCAUGUGAUGUUUGUACCUGUACUGAACGUGUACAGACUUUUUUUUUUCUGGUCAAUAUUCCCUAAAUAAUAUGGUAUAACAACUAUUUGCAUAGCAUUUGCAUUGUUUCAGGUAUUAUAAGUAAUCUAGAGAUGAUUUAAAGUGUAUGAGAGGAUGUGCCUAGGUUAUAUGCAGAUACUAUACCAUUUUAUAUAAGGGACUUGAGCAUCUCUGGAUUUUGGUAUCCUCCAGGGUCCUGGAACCAAUCCCCCAUGGAUACUGUGGGACUACUGUAUUGUUAUUAUUAUUGCAUAAAAAUUCCAUCUGUAUUUGGACAAGGCCUAGAAAGGAAAACUGAAAACAGUUAAUUCUUUGGAGUCUCCCUUUUGAAUGUCAAAUUCAUUGUUGUCAUGAUGUUUAAUUAUUGAGUUCCAUUUAGCUGGAACAUUGAAACUAAAGAAUGACCCUUUGGUAGACAUUAGAGGGAAGCAGAGUGGAGGCCAGGCCCUGGGAGGAGGGUGGAAUGGUGGUCCUGUAUGAGAUGCAGAAGUUGAGGGUGGGAGUGAAAGGAAGGAGGAACCCAGGACAGGAUUAGGAGGCCUGAUGGGUAGAUCCUGGUGCCUGGUUUAAUAAAAGGGCAGAGAGGGCCAGCCCCAGUGGCCUAGUGGUUAAGUUUGACACGCUCUGCUUCAGUGGCCUGGGUUCUAUUCCCAGGCACAGACUUAUACCUUUCUGUUAGUGGCCAUGCUGUGCUGGUGGCCCACAUACUGAAAAAUAGAGGAAGAUUGGCACGGAUGUCAGAUCAGGGCAAAUCUUCCUUAGCAAAAAAAAAUUAAAAAAUAAAAGGACAGCGAGAGAUGACCUAAAUAACUGUCCCACACUUGAGAUAGUCUCCAAAGAACCCUGACAAGGAAAAUUAGGCUACUCUCUCACAGUGCCAGCGUUAUUAAUAUUAGGUUAUUUUGAAAGCUUUACAUAACUAUUUGUGUUCUAUUUGCCUUGUUUCCCCCAAGAAUGGAUUGGAGACCUGGCCUUUUAGAGUGUUCACCAAUGCACACAGUGGGAGAGAAAUGUACAAACACUGUGAUAGUGGUCAUUAAUAUUCAAAUGUUAUUUGACUAUUUGAUACUAUUUAUUAAUAUUCAAAUUUUCCUUCUUUCAG
ensembl:lncRNA